GUGCCAGCCGCCGCGGUAAUACGUAGGGGGCAAGCGUUGUCCGGAAUCAUUGGGCGUAAAGCGCGUGUAGGCGGCCCGAAAAGUCUGAUGUGAAAACUUAGGGCUCAACCCUAAGCCUGCAUUGGAUACUGUCGGGCUUGAGUUCGGAAGAGGAGAGUGGAAUUCCUGGUGUAGCGGUGGAAUGCGCAGAUAUCAGGAGGAACACCAAUGGCGAAGGCAGCUCUCUGGUACGUAACUGACGCUGAGACGCGAAAGCGUGGGUAGCAAACAGGAUUAGAUACCCUGGUAGUCCACGCCGUAAACGAUGGAUGCUAGGUGUGGGGGGUGUCGACUCCCUCCGUGCCGAAGCUAACGCAUUAAGCAUCCCGCCUGGGGAGUACGGCCGCAAGGCUAAA
rnacentral:rRNA from 1 species